rnacentral:rRNA from 1 species
CCUACGGGGGCUGCAGUGGGGAAUACUGGACAAUGGGGGGAACCCUGAUCCAGCCAUGCCGCGUGUGUGAAGAAGGCCCUCGGGUUGUAAAGCACUUUCAGUGAGGAAGAACGCCUGGUGGUUAAUACCCAUCAGGAAAGACAUCACUCACAGAAGAAGCACCGGCUAACUCCGUGCCAGCAGCCGCGGUAAUACGGAGGGUGCGAGCGUUAAUCGGAAUUACUGGGCGUAAAGCGCGCGUAGGUGGCUUGAUAAGCCGGUUGUGAAAGCCCCGGGCUCAACCUGGGAACGGCAUCCGGAACUGUCAAGCUAGAGUGCAGGAGAGGAAGGUAGAAUUCCCGGUGUAGCGGUGAAAUGCGUAGAGAUCGGGAGGAAUACCAGUGGCGAAGGCGGCCUUCUGGACUGACACUGACACUGAGGUGCGAAAGCGUGGGUAGCAAACAGGAUUAGAUACCCUUGUAGUC